rnacentral:rRNA from 1 species
AUUGAACGCUGGCGGCAGGCCUAACACAUGCAAGUCGAACGAGUGGCGGACGGGUAAGUAAUGUCUGGGAAACUGCCUGAUGGAGGGGGAUAACUACUGGAGACGGUAGCUAAUACCGCAUACCAUAAGAUGUGCCCAGAUGGGAUUAGCUAGUUGGUGGGGGAACGGCUCACACAGGCGACGAUCCCUAGCUGGUCAGAGAGGAGUACAAGCCACACUGGACCUCAGACGCGGUCCAGACUCCGACGGGAGGCAGUAGUGGGGAAUAGUGCACACUGGGCGCAAGCCUGAUGCAGGCAUGCCGCGUGGAUGACGAAGGCCUUCGGGUUGUAAAGUACUUACAGCUGUGAGGCGUUACCCGCAGAAGAAGCACCGGCUAACUACGUGCCAGCAGCCGCGGUAAUAC